AAAAGACUUAGUCCUAACCUUACCGUUAACUCUUGCUAAACAUAUACAUGCAAGUAUCCGCGCUCCAGUGUAAAUGCCCCGAAUCUCUUACUAAGACAAAAGGAGCGGGUAUCAGGCACACCCAUGACUAGUAGCCCAAGACACCUUGCUCAGCCACACCCCCACGGGUCCUCAGCAGUAAUUAACAUUAAGCAAUAAGUGUAAACUUGACUUAGUUAUAGCAACAUCCAGGGUUGGUAAAUCUUGUGCCAGCCACCGCGGUCAUACAAGAGACCCAAGUUAACUGCACACGGCGUAAAGAGUGGUAUUAAUUCUAUCAUAACAACUAAGAUCAAAGUGCAACUAAGCUGUCAUAAGCCCAAGAUGUACCUAAGACCACCCUUAAGAUGAUCUUAGCGCCUCACGAUUAAUUAAACCCCACGAAAGCUCGGACACAAACUGGGAUUAGAUACCCCACUAUGCCUAGCCCUAAAUCUUGGUGCUUGACUCACCAAAGCAUCCGCCCGAGAACUACGAGCACAAACGCUUAAAACUCUAAGGACUUGGCGGUGC
rnacentral:rRNA from 1 species